AUUGAACGCUGGCGGCAGGCCUAACACAUGCAAGUCGAGCGGAUGAAGGGAGCUUGCUCCUGGAUUCAGCGGCGGACGGGUGAGUAAUGCCUAGGAAUCUGCCUGGUAGUGGGGGAUAACGUCCGGAAACGGGCGCUAAUACCGCAUACGUCCUGAGGGAGAAAGUGGGGGAUCUUCGGACCUCACGCUAUCAGAUGAGCCUAGGUCGGAUUAGCUAGUUGGUGGGGUAAAGGCCUACCAAGGCGACGAUCCGUAACUGGUCUGAGAGGAUGAUCAGUCACACUGGAACUGACACGGUCCAGACUCCUACGGGAGGCAGCAGUGGGGAAUAUUGGACAAUGGGCGAAAGCCUGAUCCAGCCAUGCCGCGUGUGUGAAGAAGGUCUUCGGAUUGUAAAGCACUUUAAGUUGGGAGGAAGGGCAGUAAGUUAAUACCUUGCUGUUUUGACGUUACCAACAGAAUAAGCACCGGCUAACUUCGUG
rnacentral:rRNA from 1 species